AGUGGGAGCACAGGUUUACCUGUGUGACUGCGUACCUUUUGUAUAAUGGGUCAGCGACUUAUAUUCUGUAGCAAGGUUAACCGUAUAGGGGAGCCGUAGGGAAACCGAGUCUUAACCGGGCGUUAAGUUGCAGGGUAUAGACCCGAAACCCGGUGAUCUAGCCAUGGGCAGGUUGAAGGUUGGGUAACACUAACUGGAGGACCGAACCGACUAAUGUUGAAAAAUUAGCGGAUGACCUGUGGCUGGGGGUGAAAGGCCAAUCAAACCGGGAGAUAGCUGGUUCUCCCCGAAAGCUAUUUAGGUAGCGCCUCGUGAAUUCAUCUCCGGGGGUAGAGCACUGUUUCGGCUAGGGGGCCAUCCCGGCUUACCAACCCGAUGCAAACUGCGAAUACCGGAGAAUGUUAUCACGGGAGACACACGGCGGGUGCUAACGUCCGUCGUGAAGAGGGAAACAACCCAGACCGCCAGCUAAGGUCCCAAAGUCAUGGUUAAGUGGGAAACGAUGUGGGAAGGCCCAGACAGCCAGGAUGUUGGCUUAGAAGCAGCCAUCAUUUAAAGAAAGCGUAAUAGCUCACUGGUCGAGUCGGCCUGCGCGGAAGAUGUAACGGGGCUAAACCAUGCACCGAAGCUGCGGCAGCGACGCUGAUGCGUUGUUGGGUAGGGGAGCGUUCUGUAAGCCUGCGAAGGUGGCCUGUGAGGGUUGCUGGAGGUAUCAGAAGUGCGAAUGCUGACAUAAGUAACGAUAAAGCGGGUGAAAAGCCCGCUCGCCGGAAGACCAAGGGUUCCUGUCCAACGUUAAUCGGGGCAGGGUGAGUCGACCCCUAAGGCGAGGCCGA
rnacentral:rRNA from 1 species